rnacentral:rRNA from 1 species
AGAACGAACGCUGGCGGCAUGCCUAACACAUGCAAGUCGAACGAGACCUUCGGGUCUAGUGGCGCACGGGUGCGUAACGCGUGGGAAUCUGCCCUUGGGUUCGGAAUAACAGCGAGAAAUUGCUGCUAAUACCGGAUGAUGACGUAAGUCCAAAGAUUUAUCGCCCAAGGAUGAGCCCGCGUAGGAUUAGCUUGUUGGUGAGGUAAGAGCUCACCAAGGCGACGAUCCUUAGCUGGUCUGAGAGGAUGAUCAGCCACACUGGGACUGAGACACGGCCCAGACUCCUACGGAGGCAGCAGUGGGAAUAUU